rnacentral:rRNA from 1 species
GAUAAACGCUGGCGGCGUGCAUGAGACAUGCAAGUCGAACGGUCAAUCGGGCUUGCUCGAUUGAUAGUGGCGGACGGCUGAGUAACGCGUAGGUGACCUGCCCCGAAGUGGGGAAUAACUGCCCGAAAGGGUGGCUAAUACCGCAUGUGGUGCCACGUUCAUUCGUGGUUCCAAAGCCGAAAGGCGCUUCGGGAGGGGCCUGCGUCCGAUUAGCUCGUUGGUGGGGUAACGGCUCACCAAGGCGACGAUCGGUAGGUGGUCUGAGAGGACGAUCACCCAGACUGGGACUGAGACACGGCCCAGACUCCUACGGGAGGCAGCAGUCGGGAAUUUUGGGCAAUGGGCGAAAGCCUGACCCAGCAACGCCGCGUGAGGGAUGAAGGCCUUCGGGUCGUAAACCUCUUUUAUCAGGGACGAUAAUGACGGUACCUGAUGAAUAAGCCACGGCUAACUACGUGCCAGCAGCCGCGGUAAUACGUAGGUGGCGAGCGUUGUCCGGAUUUACUGGGCGUAAAGAGCGCGCAGGCGGUCGAGUAAGUCGAAUGUGAAAGCCCCCGGCUCAACUGGGGAGGGUCAUUCGAUACUGUUCGACUCGAAGGCAGGAGAGGGAAGUGGAAUUCCCGGUGUAGUGGUGAAAUGCGUAGAUAUCGGGAGGAACACCAGUGGCGAAGGCGACUUCCUGGCCUGUUCUUGACGCUGAGGCGCGAAAGCUAGGGUAGCAAACGGGAUUAGAUACCCCGGUAGUCCUAGCCGUAAACGAUGGACACUAGGUGUUGGCGGUAUCAACCCCGCCAGUGCCGAAGCUAACGCAUUAAGUGUCCCGCCUGGGGAGUACGGCCGCAAGGCUA